UAGUAACGGCGAGUGAAGCGGGAUGAGCUCAAGCUUAAAAUCUCCGUACAAGUUUUGUACGGCGAAUUGUAGUCUAUAGAGGCGUGGUCAGUACGGGCGCUUAGGGUAAGUUCCUUGGAAGAGGACAGCAUCGAGGGUGAUACUCCCGUUCAUCCCUGAGUGGCUCGUGCGUACGACCCGUUUUCUUUGAGUCGCGUUGUUUGAGAAUGCAGCGCUAAGCAGGUGGUAAAUUCCAUCUAAAGCUAAAUAUUGGUGCGAGACCGAUAGUAAACAAGUACCGUGAGGGAAAGAUGAAAAGAACUUUGAAAAGAGAGUUAAAGAGUACCUGAAACUGCUGAAAGGGAACCGAAUCGUUUCCAGUGUAUAUAAUCCGUGGCAUAUUUCAUUGGCGAGUGUGUGCGUGCGUGUGCUAUGGCAGCGGCUUUUUGCUGCGCUUGGCGCGUGUGCUGUGUAUACUUGCUGGUGCCCUGUGCUGUGGUGGGACGUCAAGGUCAGUUCGUAUGCUGCGGGAAAUGGCUGCCGAGGAGGUAGGACUUACGCUUGCGUUUGUCUGUUAUAUCUUGGUGGACGAGUCGUCGUGGUUGGGACUGAGGUGCCUACAACGUGCUUUUGAGUGGGUUUGUGUCUCCGUGUGUACCGUGUGCGGAUAGCUUGCUAUGCGUGUGUGGUUAUGUGUGGAUUGAUGCGGGCUUUAACUUG
rnacentral:rRNA from 1 species